UACGUAGGGUGCAAGCGUUGUCCGGAAUUAUUGGGCGUAAAGAGCUCGUAGGCGGUUUGUCGCGUCGGCUGUGAAAACCCGGGGCUCAACCCCGGGCCUGCAGUCGAUACGGGCAAACUAGAGUGUGGUAGGGGAGACUGGAAUUCCUGGUGUAGCGGUGGAAUGCGCAGAUAUCAGGAGGAACACCGGUGGCGAAGGCGGGUCUCUGGGCAGUAACUGACGCUGAGGAGCGAAAGCGUGGGGAGCGAACAGG
rnacentral:rRNA from 1 species